AUUGAACGCUGGCGGCAGGCCUAACACAUGCAAGCCGAACGAGUGGCGGACGGGUGAGUAUUGUCUGGGAAACUGCCCGAUGGAGGGGGAUAACUACUGGAAACGGUAGCUAAUACCGCAUACACUCUGAUGUUCCCAGAUGGGAUUAGCUUGGAGGUGAGGUAACUGCUCAACUAGGCGACGAUCCCUAUCGGGUCUGAGAGGAUGACCAGCCACACUGGAACUGAGACACGGUCCAGACUCAUACGUGAGGAAGCAGUGGGGAAUAUUGCACAAUGGGCGCAAGCCUGAUUCAGCCAUGCCGAGGUUAUGAAGAAGGCCUUCGGGUUGUAAAUUACUUUCAGCGGGGAGGCGUUACCCGCAGAAGAAGCACCGGCUAACUCCGUGCCAGAAGCCGCGGUAAGUC
rnacentral:rRNA from 1 species